rnacentral:rRNA from 1 species
UACGUAGGGUGCGAGCGUUGUCCGGAAUUAUUGGGCGUAAAGGGCUCGUAGGCGGUUUGUCGCGUCGGGAGUGAAAACCCAGGGCUUAACUCUGGGCUUGCUUUCGAUACGGGCAGACUAGAGGUAUGCAGGGGAGAAUGGAAUUCCCGGUGUAGCGGUGAAAUGCGCAGAUAUCGGGAGGAACACCGGUGGCGAAGGCGGUUCUCUGGGCCUGACCUGACGCUGAGGAGCGAAAGCGUGGGGAGCGAACAGG